GAUUAAUUUGAGUUAGGAAAUGAAAAUUACCUCUCCAACUCCAUUCGGGAGGACAUUGUGGUGUACUUCAUUCCACCCGGAUCACCCCUGGUUAUCAACGAUGUUCAACAACACCAUAAGCACAGUACUAGUUAGUUCUUCAAUCUUAGUACAAAUACCAACAACAUAGAUAAAAUCAUUUUUUUGUAAAAAGAUCCUAACAAGCUAAAAUUACCAAGACAAGCACAAUAAAGCAUAGUCAACACUUGUUGCAUUGUAUAACAUUUAUCUACCUCAGGAAUCUAACGAAGGAAACUCACACACCGCUUCAUCGGAUAGUGUCAUGUUCAAAGUCCUCAAACAAAUGGAAUACUUCUUGAUCUCAGAACGGGCCAUAGCUCCAUGCUCCCACAUUACUACAAGGUAAACUAAUGUAAAGUUCUAAAUUAUAAUCUUUCAACUAACUUUAAGCAACCCAAAUCUAACUUUUUGAAGGGAAUCAAAUAUCUUUUACUGUGGAAUAUAUUUUUAUGAGGAAUAUAUUUUUAUGAUUUGCCUUGUAAUAAGGGGCGGUAUAGUCCCCUUCUAUGCAAUUUUUGCCCGCAUCCCUAUUGUUAAUCAAUUAAGAAACAAAUAACAUGUAUAAGUACUUUAUAAUCUAAUCUCUACAUCUAUACCAAAUAAAGCAAGAAUCAUUGGCAAACAUUGAGAUUAAGAGCAAAGGAACAAAAUCAGAAAAUGUAUGCCUAACUUUCUGACCAGCAGACUUUUUUGGCUAAAAAUAGUAUAGCUCGGCUAAGAAUUUCAGGUUGGUCUCUUCGUAACAAUUGUAAAAGACAACCUAAAGAUCAAUCUGGAACUAGAAUCGCACAAAAAAGAAUUUUCUACAAUUACUAAUGAUUUUUCGAAGUUCAGUUCCAGUUCUAGUUUUUCUUUGAAAAUUUACUGAUAAUUACCCACCUUAAAGUUGAACAGAGGCUGAACUUGGACCUUUGAUUUUUUGUUCCCUUCAGCUCCUCCCUGCCAUUUAGCCAUACUGCAACAGAAAUAUCCAAACCCAAACCCUUACAUAUCAGAACAAGUCUUUCAAAUGACGAAACCACCAUCACCGACGACCGCAGAAGAAACUAGAAAACUCAAAACUUGACAAAACGAAGAACCAUUCACCAAGCUAUGUAGAGCUUGCGUAUUCCCCUAUCCUUCCCUUAGGAAGCUGCCCUGGGAAGCAGAAAUCGCGCCAAACAGUCCGGCUCCCAACCCCCUCCAUCCUCGCGCCAAGCCCAGCCUCCUCACAUCUCCGACCUCGAACCAAAUUGGAAGAAAUUGAACUAACCAACCCAGAAACUUAAUCUGAGAAAGGAGAAGAGUACAAACCUCGAACCAAAUUGGAAGAAAUUGAGUGAGGCGCCAAAUGGACGAACCCCCAAAUCAACGAACCCUAAUCGAGUGACAGCGGCUUAGUCUCUAUUGAGGGAGGAGUGAUUGAGUACGAGAGAGAAAGAAAUUGAGAGGAGUGAUUGAGAAGAAAUUGAGAAGGGUGAGAGCGGUUGCAUUCGAGAGAGAAAGAGUGAUAGGUGAGAGCGGUGAGUGUGUGUGUGUGUGUGAGCGAUAGGUUUUGAGCGAUACUUCUUUUUUUUUGUUCAAGUGUCAAGUCUUUUAGGUUUUUGAGUCAAGUGUUUCCAGAUCAUACAACAUAACUUCAAAUUUUGGUUGUCUGAGAAAUGACAUCCUUAAAUUGCAAGAGAGGGAGAUUUCCCGCUGCUACAUCUCAGUCUUAAUUUUUUCCCUAUCCAUUUUACAAAUCAGACAACAUAAAUUGUAUAUUUUGUUGUAUGAGAAGAAAUGACAUCCUUAAAUUACAAGAGCGUGAGAUUUUCCGCUGCUACAUCUCAGCCUUAAUUUUUUCCCUAUCCAUUUUACAAAUCAGACAACAUAAAUUGCAUAUUUUGUGUUGUCUGAGAAGAAACAAAAUAGAGACAUUCACUUAAUCUUGAGGGCGGGAAAUUUCCCGCUACUCUUCAUUCUAACGAGUCACUCUUUAAAAUAACCCUAGUUUUCACUCACACAAUGCAUAAAAGCACUAAGAGUUGUCUAAAUAUGAGACGCUUGUCAACGCAAACACGUCGAAAUGCAAUACUCUAAACAUUUUUUUAUUUUGUCGACACUCGUAUAAUCAUAUGGUUAUUAUGGAUGAACUCAUAUAAG
rnacentral:lncRNA from 1 species